UAGCAGCACAUCAUGGUUUGCAACACUGUAGUGAAGAUGCGAACCAUUAUUUGCUGCUUUA
rnacentral:pre_miRNA from 1 species